UAGACUUGACAUCCCGAGCAAAGCUAUAGAGAUAUAGUGGAGGUUAUCUCGGUGACAGGUGCUGCAUGGCUGUCGUCAGCUCGUGUCGUGAGAUGUUGGGUUAAGUCCCGCAACGAGCGCAACCCUUAUCUUUAGUUGCUACCAUUUAGUUGAGAACUCUAAAGAGACUGCCGGUGAUAAACCGGAGGAAGGCGUGGACGACGUCAAGUCAGUAUGGCCCUUACAUCCAGGGCUGCACACGUGCUACAAUGGUCGAUACAAAAGGAAGCUAUACCGCGAGGUGGCGCAAAUCCCCAAAAUCGGCCCCAGUUCGGAUAGGAGUCUGCAACUCGACUCCUUGAAGUUGGAAUCGCUAGUAAAGGUAUAUCAGCUACGAUACCUUGAAUACGUUCCGCGGGACCU
rnacentral:rRNA from 1 species